AAGCAACAGAGCUGUGUUGCUAUAUUGCCUUCAAGUCUCCGUUCCAUGCAUCCUGAUGUCCAUCGCAUUCGCCAUAUGGGGUUAUAUUGAAAGCUCUAAUGGAGAGGCUUAUGUUGGCAGUACUAUAAAUCUCAUGAGGAUUCUUGUGAUUUUUAAGGUGGCUCCAUAUGCACUUCCUGGUACAUGUUACACGAGAUUCACAAACAAGGCGCUGCGAUUGGAAUAUUUUGUCAUUACAACAGGGGUAAAUUCUAGUAAGUGUAUGUACCGCAUCAAGCAGUUUUUGUGGCUUAACAUAGGUUUCUUUUCCUUUCUAUAUCACAUGUUUUAAAAAGUAAACAAACAAGUUAUUGAUAUGGUUUUAGCAAACAUUUAUUAUUACUUUACUUGUGUAUGGCUUUGCUGAAGUAGAGCACUAUUUUCCCUAUGGGCCCUAUUUUUGUGAUGAUGUAAGCCAUCAAUGAAGUAUCAGUAAACAUUGUGCAUUUAUGAAUACUGGAAAUUAUUAUGUCAGACAUAAAUCAAAAAUAAUUUAGGGCAUAUAAAAAUUUGUCAUGAAUGCAAUAAGCUACAUAAUUUUAUUUAUUAUAUGUGAUUACUUAGCAUAAACUAUGCGCUUCAAAAAUUGUGUCCAACAUCAUCAACUUGACUAUUUUUUCUGCUGUUCAGUAUUUAGCUGGUAAUAGCAAUAUUAUGGUCAGUGUAAGGUCAUUUGUUGCACAAUGCAGAAGGUAGGAAUUGUACUGGAAAAAUACUUAAUUCUGAACAUUUUCACAUUGUCCUUCUCAGUUUUAAUUCUCUUUCCAUGUUUUGUGCAUAAUUUAAUUAUCUCUCAAUUCUCUUCAAAUCAGUCCUUCUCCAUGAGCUUUUGGCAUCUGCCCCAGAUGCAGGAACAAUACUAUUUUCUGGACUCAUGAUUGCAGUUGUCCUGUUGAAGCAAUUAACAGAAGAAAAAUUUUCAGGUAAGACUAUAU